rnacentral:rRNA from 1 species
UGAUCAGCCAUGCCGCGUGAGUGAUGAAGGCCUUCGGGUUGUAAAGCUCUUUUGUCCGGGACGAUAAUGACGGUACCUGCAGAAUAAGCUCCGGCUAACUUCGUGCCAGCAGCCGCGGUAAUACUAAGGGGGCUAGCGUUGUUCGGAAUUACUGGGCGUAAAGGUUGUGUAGGUUGUUUUUUAAGUCAGGGGUGAAAUCCUGGAGCUCAACUCCGUAACUGCCUUUGAUACUGAACAUCUUGAGUUCGGUAGAGGUGAGUGGAAUUGCGAGUGUAGAGGUGAAAUUCAUAUAUAUUCGCAAGAACACCACUGGCGAAGGUUGCUAACUGGCCCGAUCCUGACCCUGAUGCACCGGAGCGUGGGGAGCAAAUAGGAUUAGAUUCCUUGGUAGUCCACGCCAUUAACGAUGAAUGCCAGACGUUUGUGGGUUUACUCACUCGUGGCGCAGCUAACGCUUUAAGCGUUUCGCGUGGGGACUACGGGUGCAAGAUU